AUUCAAAUCCUCCUUUGCAGUGAAAUUGUAUCUAUCAUCAUCAGCUUUGCCUAUGAAACCCCCAAGCUGAAACUGAAAAAAGAGGCCUAUCUUGCCAGCAGAUGAACAAAAAUCCAUUCUCUUCUUUGAUUUUAUACCCAUCAUAUCCAUAGCUCUGCAACAAUCUACUUCCCAGUAACAUACUAUGAUAACUCAAUGGAACCUUUCCGAACCCCACGGAUUCGAGCCUCAGUAUCCAUCUCUCGAGCUUUUCGUGCCUCUCUGUCCUCUCCACCCCCUCACAAGCAAUGAUGUUUUUUAUUUCCUCUCCUAAAAGCAUCUUCUCG
rnacentral:misc_RNA from 1 species